rnacentral:rRNA from 1 species
AUUGAACGCUGGCGGCAGGCCUAACACAUGCAAGUCGAGCGAGCGGCGGACGGGUGUGUAAUGUAUAGGGGCUGUCCCAUAGAGGGGGGUAACUCCUCUAAACGGUAUCGAUAACCCCACACUAUCGGAUAACCCAUAUGGGGUUAUCUAGUAGGUGGGGUAAGGGCUCACCUAGGCGACGAGCGCUAGCUGGGCUGUGAGGAUGAUCAGCCACACUGGGACUGAGACACGGCCCAGACUCCUACGGAGGCAGCAGUGGGGAAUAUUGCACAAUGGGCGCAAGCCUGAUGCAGCCAUGCCGCGUGUAUGAAGAAGGCCCUAGGGUUGUAAAGUACUUUCAGUGGGGAGGCGUUACCCGCAGAAGAAGCACCGGCUAACUCCGUGCCAGCCGCCGCGGUAAUUC